rnacentral:rRNA from 1 species
UACGGGGGGAGCAAGCGUUGUUCGGAAUUACUGGGCGUAAAGGGCGUGUAGGCGGCCGACUAAGUCGGGGGUGAAAUCCACUGGCUCAACCAGUGAAGUGCCUUCGGGACUGGACGGCUUGAGUAUGGCAGAGGGAAGCGGAAUUCCAGGUGUAGCGGUGAAAUGCGUAGAUAUCUGGAAGAACACCGGUGGCGUAGGCGGCUUCCUGGGCCAAUACUGACGCUGAUGCGCGAAAGCCAGGGGAGCAAACGGG